GAUGAACGCUGGCGGCGUGCCUAAUACAUGCAAGUCGAGCGAACGGACGAGAAGCUUGCUUCUCUGAUGUUAGCGGCGGACGGGUGAGUAACACGUGGAUAACCUACCUAUAGGACUGGGAUAACUUCGGGAAACCGGAGCUAAUACCGGAUAAUAUUUUGAACCGCAUGGUUCAAAAGUGAAAGACGGUCUUGCUGUCACUUAUAGAUGGAUCCGCGCUGCAUUAGCUAGUUGGUAAGGUAACGGCUUACCAAGGCAACGAUGCAUAGCCGACCUGAGAGGGUGAUCGGCCACACUGGAACUGAGACACGGUCCAGACUCCUACGGGAGGCAGCAGUAGGGAAUCUUCCGCAAUGGGCGAAAGCCUGACGGAGCAACGUCGCGUGAGUGAUGAAGGUCUUCGGAUCGUAAAACUCUGUUAUUAGGGAAGAACAUAUGUGUAAGUAACUGUGCACAUCUUGACGGUACCUAAUCAGAAAGCCACGGCUAACUACGUG
rnacentral:rRNA from 1 species